rnacentral:rRNA from 1 species
GACGAACGCUGGCGGCGUGCUUAACACAUGCAAGUCGAACGGAAAGGCCCUGCUUUUGUGGGUGCUCGCGUGGCGAACGGGUGAGUAACACGUGAGUAACCUGCCCUUGACUUUGGGAUAACUUCAGGAAACUGGGGCUAAUACCGGAUAGGAGCUCCUGCUGCAUGGUGGGGGUUGGAAAGUUUCGGCGGUUGGGGAUGGACUCGCGGCUUAUCAGCUUGUUGGUGGGGUAGUGGCUUACCAAGGCUUUGACGGGUAGCCGGCCUGAGAGGGUAACCGGCCACAUUGGGACUGAGAUACGGCCCAGACUCCUACGGGAGGCAGCAGUGGGGAAUAUUGCACAAUGGGCGGAAGCCUGAUGCAGCAACGCCGCGUGCGGGAUGACGGCCUUCGGGUUGUAAACCGCUUUCGCCUGUGACGAAGCGUGAGUGACGGUAAUGGGUAAAGAAGCACCGGCUAACUACGUG